CUAGUACUCCCUCCAUUCGGAAUUACUUGUCGCAGAAAUGGAUGUAUCUAGAUGUAUUUUAGUUCUAGAUACAUCCAUUUUCGAGACAAGUAAUUCCGAACGGAGGGAGUACUAC
rnacentral:pre_miRNA from 1 species